CGCUACCGACAACCAUUCCAAUUCGUUCUUCCGUACAGUGUACAGAGAAAGAGAAACCAAAACAACAUUCAGCCAAAAUGACUGAGACCGCUACCGACGUUGUUGACGCCGCGCCAGCUGCCGCUGCAUCGCCGGCAAAGGCCACCAAGAAGCCGAAGGCCGCCAAGGGUGACGCCAAGAAGCCGAAGAAGCCAGCUACCCACCCGCCGGUCAACGAGAUGGUCAUUGCGGCUAUCCAGACCCUGAAGGAGCGCAACGGAUCAUCGCUGCAGGCCAUCAAGAAGUACAUCGCUGCCAACUACAAGUGCGACGUGGCCAAGCUGUCCACGUUCAUCAAGAAGGCUCUGAAGACCAACGUCGAGAAGGAAAGCUUGUCCAGACCAAGGGCUCCGGUGCCAGCGGAUCGUUCAAGAUCAAGGCCGAGGCCAAGAAGCCAGCCGGCGAAAAGAAGCCCAAGAAGGCCGCUGGUGAGAAGAAGAAGGUCGCCAAGAAGGCCACCACUGGUGAGAAGAAGAAGGCCGCCGCCAAGAAGCCAGCCGGUGAGAAGAAGGUUGCUGCCAAGAAACCAAAGGCUGCCGCGGCCGCUAAGAAGCCAAAGGCCGCUGCCCCAAAAAGGCCGCCGAGAAGAAAGCCAAGGCUGCCACGGCCAAGACCGCCAAGAAGGCCGGUACGGUGAAGAAGGCCGCUGCCCCGAAGCAGAAGGCCACCAAGCCGUCCAAGACCGCGGCCAAGAAGCCCAAGACCCCGAAACCAAAGAAGGCAGCUGCCCCGAAGAAGGCCGCCGCCAAGAAGUAAAUCUCCAAACACAACCAACUAUUCGUGAAAUUCGUGGUAGUCGAAUAAUCCUACCUACAAAACCACAAUCAGUCCUUUUCAGGA